rnacentral:rRNA from 1 species
AACGAACGCUGGCGGCAUGCCUAACACAUGCAAGUCGAACGAGACCUUCGGGUCUAGUGGCGCACGGGUGCGUAAGGCGGGGGAACCUGCCCUUAGGUUCGGAAUAACUCCCCGGAAGGGGUGCAAGUACAGGAAAAUGACUUCGGCACAAAGAUUUAUCGUCUAUGGGUGGGACCGUGUUGGAUUAGCGAGUUGGAAGGGCAAAGGCCUACCAAGGCGACGAUCCAUAGCUGGUCUGAGAGGAUGCUCAGCCACACUGGGACUGAGACACGGCCCAGACAUCUAGGGGAAGCAGCAGAAGGGUAUAUUGGACAAGGGGCGAAAGCCUGAUCCAGCAAUGCCGUGUGAGUGAUUAAGGCUUGAGAGGAGUAAAGCUCUGUUACCCGGUGUGAUAAUGACAUUACCGGGAGAAUAAGCUCCGGCUAACUCCGUG